GGCCGCCGUUGACGGGCUUAUUAGCCACAAACUUUUUCUCUGGGAAUGGAAGCAUAGAAGGGUGCAAGCGCCAUCUUGUCCUGGGCUCUUUGCCUGUGUCAAAGUGCAUAAACGGUCCUAUAGGGUGGGGCUGAUGGUGGAGAGGAGAAUCGUGCCGGCGUAUACGCUUGGGAGGGCAGUGGCGGGCUGGUGCAUGAAAUUAUUGCAGCAGAAUGGCCGUUCUAUUGGUUCCACCGCGGAGGCAUUGAGUGGGUUGAGCGAGGUAGUGUGGCAGCCGCAUGACUUGGUGGCCGUAUGUGAUUUCGAUGGUCUGUGCCCUGCAUUGGGACUGGGGC
rnacentral:lncRNA from 1 species